UACGAAGGGGGCUAGCGUUGUUCGGAAUUACUGGGCGUAAAGCGCGCGCAGGCGGUCUUCCAAGUCAGUGGUGAAAGCCUGGAGCUCAACUCCAGAACUGCCAUUGAAACUGUUAGACUUGAGUACGAGAGAGGUGAGUGGAAUUCCCAGUGUAGAGGUGAAAUUCGUAGAUAUUCGCAAGAACACCAGUGGCGAAGGCGGCUCACUGGCCCAUUACUGACGCUGAGGCACGAAAGCGUGGGGAGCAAACAGG
rnacentral:rRNA from 1 species